CACGGGGGGAGCAAGCGUUGUUCGGAAUCACUGGGCGUAAAGGGCGUGCAGGCGGUUUGUUAAGUGCAGGGUGAAAGCUCCCGGCUCAACUGGGAGAGGUCCUUGCAUACUGGCGAACUCGAGGGAGGCAGAGGAAAGUGGAAUUCCCGGUGUAGUGGUGAUAUGCGUAGAUAUCGGGAGGAACACCUGUGGCGAAGGCGGCUUUCUGGGCCUUACCUGACGCUGAGACGCGAAAGCGUGGGGAGCGAACCGG
rnacentral:rRNA from 1 species